GAGGGCGGGCGGCCGGAAAGGGCAGUGAGGCUUUGCCAGGAAAUGGCGUCGUAGGGGUGCAGCUUUGGGACCAGGAACUCCAGUUGGAAAGAUGUAGGUCAGCAAGGACAAGUGCCAAAUACAGGAAGAAAGGAAGUCAUUUUGUCAGAAAUUGUGCCAAGAUUUUCAUAAAGUAAAUUAAAUCCUGGAGAUGUUCCAGAAGGCAAUCAAAGUUUGGCUAUGUGACCAUCAGCAACAAUAGUGGUGAAUAUAAAGUGAGGAAAGGCCUUCAAGAUUUGAAGUUUUUUCCAAGUGGGAUGAUGACGUGAAAGGAAAACUGCAUGAAACAUUAGUAAACAGAUGGCAUCAUUUCAUCUCAUGCUCUGAAAGUGACAAGUUACACUGUGGCACUGACUUUAUUGUAUUAGCCUGUGCUGGCUGUGCUGAAUUUAUAAACCAUGGAGCAACUUUCUUUGGCUCUAUCUCGCACAACAGAAGGUGAAGUAAGAAAACACUGGGAAACUAAUUGACUUUUCAAGAGAAUCAUCUUUUUGGGUUGAUUUGGAAGGUUGAAGGAGGAGCCAAGAUAACAAAAAUCUAUUUCAAGCAAAUGCAGUUGUCUGCCAGGUCAACACUGGACCAGCCAGACUCUGUGAUAAUAAGAACAAUAUGAAACAGAAUUUGAAUUAAUGUUACCUUGCCUUUCAGUAGGUUUAUUGACUUGAAUGUUGUAUUAUGUCUUAAUCAAUGUGUAUGUAUUAUGUCUUAAUCAAUGUGGAUUCUAGUUGAUUUGUAGUUGAAAGUGCUACAAAAGCAGAAAAGCUACAAAGUGCUUUUCAGACAUAUUCAUAGGCUUGCCAAUAGCAGAGCCACAGGCAAAUAAUGUUCUUAUUGAAUGAAAAUAGGAGGAGAUAGAGUUCCAAACUUCUAGAAAAAGCAGACCCGAGAAACUAUUAGACCAACACUGUGAGAAGAUAAGCAAUUUCAAUUUAUAUGUGUUAUUAAGGUAUUCUAUUGAUAUACGUUAUAUCAUUUAAUACAUGCUAUUAAAAUGCUUUUAAAUGGGUAGAUGAGUUCACCAAUGAAAAUUCUGGAACAGAGCAGUCCAUUGUUUCUAAGUUAACUUGAUAGUCAGGUUAGAAUUUGUGGGGACUAGAGGGCAGUCUUUUAAAACUGUAUUUGUUCAGUAAUCAUUAAAUUAAUUUUACCUAGAUGUUAUAAACAGUGGUUCAGUGCUAUCACUAUCACCAGGCAAAGAACUGAUUAUGCCAGGUCCAUCAACUCACCACAGUAAUCAAAUUGAAACUUGUCCGCAAAGCAAGGUUAUAUCUAAAGCUUUUUGAAACAGGAGUUCAUGGUGUGCAUCUAGUUAAAUCUACCUAUAUAACCUUGUAUGGAUUCCACCAUUUAUGAGAAAAGAGGUGUGUCGCAUGGAUGUUGGCUUCCCAGCUGACUUCUAAAGUAAGAAAACAGCAGUGAUUCAUGAACUUGGCAGGGAUUCUUUCAAGUAUGAGAUUAUUAAAAAAUAUGUACUACUUUAGAUACUGUAUUUCAUACUAAUAUUUCAAGCAUUUAGAGUUUUGUUGUUAUAAAUACGUUGCAGGAGAAAUUAAGUUUAUUAAUGUAGAAAAUGUCCAUGUAGAAAACAUACUCUUUAUUGGCCCUCUUUCUUAAUAUAUGUGUUCAAAGUUCUCAUUUCACUGUUUAAUUGCUUUGAACAAUAUGUAAAAAAUAGUAUUUUAUGUGGCUUAGUCAACUGAUUUACGAGUAAGCAUUCUUUCAGCUGUAGGUAUUAAAAAGUACUCAGAUGAAAGAGGUAAAAUGUGCAAGCCUAGCCUUUCUGUCUUUGAGGACAGAGACCAAACCUAAAUGUAAUAGAAGACAUUGAUAAAAUGUUUGUUCAGUGACACAUGAUGGCUUUAUAGCAGUCGUAGCAAUAAAUCCAGUGGGACAGAAUUUAAAAUAUAUUUUAUCAAGUUCUUCAUAAUUAGAUAUAAUCCUGAAAUAAAACCAAUCUAUAUUUGUAAAUAUGGAUUAGAAGCAUGAAAGUGCUGCUUAUUGUCAACAUUUAGACUGGGUAGUUUCUACACUGGCAGAUCUAGUUGGAACUUUGAGAUGAACCUAUUCCAGUUAUUUCCUUACAGUAAGUUCUUCAAAGAUAAAAAGGCUUUUAAAUCAGGAAAAUCCGGGACAUGCAUUGAAUAUCCAUUGAAAUGCCUAAGUCUUUAAAUGUAUGUAAGAUAAAGCACAACUGGAAGACAUACAUCUGUGUUCCCUCUGCCUCUUCUGCAUCCUUUAGGGGCAGGUUCUUUCUCCCAAUCAUAGCUUCACUCAACUUAUUAUUCAUUUUGAACAGGAGAAAACCACACAGCCAGGUCUGGCUGCAUCUUCUGUAUUCCCAAGAAGGGGAAGGUACAGUCUCCUUUUGAGCUCCUUUUGUAGUUGUCUAUUUCUCAGCACUGCCCUGUGUCAUGCUUCCUCUCUAUAUCACAUAGUUCUGAGCAUUCUUACUGUUUCCCAAGUCUUUCGUCUUUUCAUGGUGCAUAGUGCAGGCAUUCAGAACAAGUCAAUAUGUAACGGAUGAUGACAGUGAAAUUUUGAAGGUGCAUUUUAAAUUUCAGAAAUGAACUUGAAACUGGACAUGUUAGACAAAUAGAAAAAUGAGAUAGAUCAGUUUCUCCUCUGUGGAAACAGAUACUGUCUACAGGGAGACCUUGGUCUCACUUCUUAGUAGAUCUGAAACAGAAGGGAGACAAGACAAAUUGGUCAGGGAGUGCUUUAGCAGAAUUCUGAAAUAAAAAUAAUGCACUGGGUGGGAGUACUUUUUGCAUUGCAAAUAGUUUGAAACAGUCUUAGUUUUUCGGCCAACUUUAUACAUAAUUGUGAAUCUAAGAUGUUCUUGGCAUGUUUCAGCUUCUGUCUUGUUAGAAGAUGUUAGCUCCCUCCAAGCUGUUUUAUUUUAGUCUGGUUGCUGUGACAGCCACAAGGCAAAAUUCAGCUGUUCUGGGAAGAGGGUCAGGUGCUGGCCUGCUGCUAUGAAAGUGGAAAGGGUGUGGGGAAUUGGUCAAGUAGAAUAGAGAACUGCAGGGGAAAAAUAGAGAGGGGAAAAUAGAACAACAUAAAAGCUACAGAAUUAAACUUGUGCUAUGAACAGAAUGAGCGCUGAUUGUUGCUUGUGGAAGAGUCUCGUUGCUUCAGCAGAACUGAGCUAUGGUACCCUGACCUAUCCCUGUUAACAGCAGCAGCAGCACCAACCUGAUGCUGUGAUUGAGAAAAGGAGCCCUUUGCUCUUCUGUUACACAGCAGCAGUCUAUGCCCUAGGUGCUUAAUUUCAGUGCUUUCAACAGAGAUGUGUAUAGCAUAGUGUAGAAAGUACAGAGGCUUCAUCUUGGCCUACCAAAGGGUUUGGUUCUGAUUUAUCCUGUGGGCAUAUACUUUUAACUGCACAUCACCAGUCGUGUUAAAAACUUAAUGUCCAUUACCAUUAAGAUGUUAGAAGACAAUUGAUAAACCUCUCAAAUGAAUGUAUAUAGUAAAACAAAUUAAAAUGAGUUCUAUGAAUUCAGUUAAAGUGUUUUUUAUCUUUAAAUGUAAAAGCUCUUAUUGUACUUUUUUUUUUUAAUACUUUGUGUUCUACUAUUUCAUGUACUUCAUCUGUACAACACGGUUCUGUGUUAGGGUGGAGGCUGGUCACAAGCAGUGUCCCUCAGUGGUCCGUCUUGAAACCAGUGUUCUUCAAUGUCUUCAUCAAUGACAUAGAUGAUGACAUCGAGUGCACCCUCAGCAAGUUUGCAGAUGAGUCCAAGCUGAGUGGUGCAAUCAAUACAUUGCAGGGAAGGGAAGCCAUCCAGAGGGACCUGGAUAGGCUGAAGAAGUGACCCCCCCCUGAAAACCUGAUGAGGUUCAGUAAGGUGAACUGCUGGGUACUGCUCUUGGGUUGGGGC